rnacentral:tRNA from 1 species
GCCCCUAUGGCGUAGUGGUAGCGCGUGUCACUUGUACCGCCUUAUAAGAUUAUGACAAGGUCUCUCGUUCGAUCCGGGAUGGGGGCA